rnacentral:rRNA from 1 species
CUAAUAUUCUAAAAAAGUUAAUUUAACCAAUAUUUGGUCCUUUCGUACUAAAAUAUUUUAAAUAAAUGAAGAUAGAAUCCAACCUGGCUCAGGCCGGUUGCCUCCCGGAACCAGGAAA